rnacentral:rRNA from 1 species
AUGCCCAGAUCUGCGGAAUAGCCUCUGGAAACGGAGAGUAAUACCGCAUACGCCCUUCGGGGAAAGAUUUAUCGGAUUUGGAUUAGCCCGCGUUGGAUUAGGUAGUUGGUGGGGUAAUGGCCUACCAAGCCGACGAUCCAUAGCUGGUUUGAGAGGAUGAUCAGCAACACUGGGACUGAGACACGGCCCAGACUCCUACGGGAGGCAGCAGUGGGGAAUCUUAGACAAUGGGGGAAACCCUGAUCUGGCCAUGCCGCGUGAGUGACGAAGGCCCUAGGGUCGUAAAGCUCUUUCAGCUGUGAAGAUAAUGACGGUAGCAGCAGAAGAAACCCCGGCUAACUCCGUGCCAGCAGCCGCGGUAAUACGGAGGGGGUUAGCGUUGUUCGGAAUUACUGGGCGUAAAGCGCGCGUAGGGGACUAUUAAGUCGAGGGUGAAAUCCCGGGGCUCAACCCCG